GAUGAACGCUGACAGAAUGCUUAACACAUGCAAGUCUACUUGAUUUAUGGUUUCGGCCGUAAUGAUGGUGGCGGACGGGUGAGUAACGCGUAAAGAAUCUGCCCUUUAGUCUGGGAUAACAGUUGGAAACGACUGCUAAUACCGGAUAUUAUGGAAUCAUCGAAUGAUGAGAUCAUGAAAGCUAUAUGCGCUAGAGGAGGACUUUGCGUCCCAUUAGCUAGUUGGGGAGGUAACGGCUCACCAAGGCGACGAUGGGUAGCCGGCCUGAGAGGGUGAUCGGCCACAAGGGAACUGAGACACGGUCCUUACUCCUACGGGAGGCAGCAGUGGGGAAUAUUGGACAAUGGGCCACAAGCCUGAUCCAACAAUUCUGUGUGCACGAUGAAGGUCUUCGGAUUGUAAAGUGCUUUCAGUAGGGAAGAAUAAAUGACGGUACCUACAGAAGAAGCAACGGCUAAAUAUGUGCCAGCCGCCGCAGUAAGAC
rnacentral:rRNA from 1 species